UACGUAGGGUGCGAGCGUUGUCCGGAAUUAUUGGGCGUAAAGAGCUCGUAGGCGGUUUGUUGCGUCGGCCGUGAAAACCUGCAGCUUAACUGUGGGCCUGCGGUCGAUACGGGCAGACUUGAGUUCGGUAGGGGAGACUGGAAUUCCUGGUGUAGCGGUGAAAUGCGUAGAGAUCAGGAAGAACACCGGUGGCGAAAGCGUUCUGCUAGACCUGUACUGACACUGAGGGACGAAAGCUAGGGGAGCGAAUGGG
rnacentral:rRNA from 1 species